rnacentral:rRNA from 1 species
UGAAUACGAGACGCUAAGGCGUCGAAGUAGUGUAUGUCAUACUUCCAAGAAAAGCUUGCACUGUCAUAGAUAAAAAACGCCUGUACCAUAACCGACACAGGUGGGUAGGUAGAGUAUACUAAGGGGCGCGAGAUAACUCUCUCUAAGGAACUCGGCAAAAUAACUCCGUAACUUCGGGAGAAGGAGUGCCUUAUUCGUAAGGUUGCAAUAACAAGAUCCAAGCAACUGUUUAUCAAAAACACAGGUCUCCGCUAAGUCGUAAGACGAUGUAUGGGGGCUGACGCCUGCCCAGUGCCAGAAGGUUAAAGAAGUUGGUUAGCAAUUGCGAAGCUGAUAACUGAAGCCCUGGUGAACGGCGGCCGUAACUAUAACGGUCCUAAGGUAGCGAAAUUCCUUGUCGGGUAAGUUCCGACCCGCACGAAAGGCGUAAUGAUUUGGAUACUGUCUCGGAGAGGGGCUCGGUGAAAUAGACUUGUCUGUGAAGAUGCGGACUACCUGCACCAGGACAGAAAGACCCUAUGAAGCUUUACUGUAACUUGAAAUUGAAAUUGGACUUUAUUCGCGCAGUAUAGGUGGGAGGCGUUGAUUAUAAUCUUGUGGGAUUAUUGGAGCCAUCAGUGAGAUACCACUCUUGUAAUGUUAGAUUUCUAACUUUGAAUCAUUAUCUGGUCAAAGAACAGUUUCAGGCGGGCAGUUUGACUGGGGCGGUCGCCUCCUAAACGGUAACGGAGGCGUACAAAGGUUUCCUCUGAACGGUUAGAAAUCGUAUCUAGAGUGUAAAGGCAUAAGGAAGCUUGACUGUGAGACCUACAAGUCGAGCAGGGACGAAAGUCGGUCUUAGUGAUCUGACGGUACUGAGUGGAAAGGCCGUCACUCAACGGAUAAAAGUCACUCUAGGAUAACAGGCUGAUCUCCCCCAAGAGUUCACAUCGACGGGGAGGUUUGGCACCUCGAUGUCGGCUCAUCGCAUCCUGGGGCGGUAGUACGUCCCAAGGGUUGGGCUGUUCGCCCAUGAAAGCGGUACGCGAGCUGGGUUCAGAACGUCGUGAGACAGUUCGGUCCAUAUCCGGUGUAGGCGUUAGAAUAUUGAGAGGAGCCUUCUUUAGUACGAGAGGACCGAGAAGGACAUACCUCUGGUGUACCAGUUAUCGUGCCAACGGUAAACGCUGGGUAGCUAUGUAUGGAGUGGAUAACCGCUGAAAGCAUCUAAGUGGGAAGCCCACCUCAAGAUAAGUAUUCUCAU